rnacentral:rRNA from 1 species
AUUGAACGCUGGCGGCAUGCCUUACACAUGCAAGUCGAACGGCAGCACGGGAGCAAUCCUGGUGGCGAGUGGCGAACGGGUGAGUAAAGUAUCGGAACGUGCCCAGUCGUGGGGGAUAACGUAGCGAAAGUUACGCUAAUACCGCAUACGAUCUAUGAAUGAAAGCGGGGGAUCGCAAGACCUCGCGCGAUUGGAGGGGCCGAUAUCAGAUUAGGUAGUUGGUGGGGGAAAGGCCCACCAAGCCGACGAGCUGUAGCUGGUCUGAGAGGACGACCAGCCACACUGGGACUGAGACACGGCCCAGACUCCUACGGGAGGCAGCAGUGGGGAAUUUUGGACAAUGGGCGAAAGCCUGAUCCAGCCAUGCCGCGUGCAGGAUGAAGGCCUUCGGGUUGUAAACUGCUUUUGUACGGAACGAAAAGGACUGCCCUAAUACGGUGGUCCCAUGACGGUACCGUAAGAAUAAGCACCGGCUAACUACGUGCCAGCCGCCGCGGUAA